AUUAGCAGUGUGAAGAUGGACUAAUACAAAGAGGAACUAGGGGAGCUUGGAGGAACCAGAGUCUCAAUCAGGGAUUCAGGUGAAGUCUCUGUUGCAAACCCUUGAGCAGGAAGCCACUUAGGCUGCAGUUGCAGCCCUGUGCCAGGGCAGUGCUUGGCCAGUGACCUCUAACUCCCUGAGGCUCCUUGUGAGGGAGCAACUCCUGAAGUCACAUGGCGAAGGUGCUCACAGGACAUGAUUCUUAGGAUGAUCCCACCUGUCGAGACCACAGCCUGGGACUCACUGUCACAGGUUAGUGAUGAACGCGGAACCUUAAUGAAACCGCCAGCGACAGCUGUGCCAUACUGCAAGUCACCACUAGGGGGAAGCAGAAUACAAGCAUCCAGAAGGUUCCAGAGAGCUGCCUCACUUCUGCCACCACGUGAGGACACAGAGAGAAGACUCACAUGUGAAUCAGAAAGCAGCCCUCAUCGGACACCAAAUCCAUCAGUACCUUGACCUUGGACUUACUUCCCACCCUCCAGAACUGUGGGAAAUACAUUUCUGUUGUCUGUGAGUUACUCAAUCUAAGGCAUUUUGUUAUAGCAGCCGGAACAGACUAAGAUACCAGCUCAGGCUCCCCUCUUGAGCUCCACACAUGUCUAACCAAAUGCUGACAAUCCAUCUCUAUCCUGUCAACCUGCCUGUAAGUCAUAUUUGACACAUUCAAAAUCGAGUUUAUCAUGCCUUUGCACCUCCCAAACCAGCUCCUCCCCUCAUAUGUCCUAUCACCACAAGUGCCCAGAAGCGGAGUGGCACAUGGAAGGAAGCGAUCUGGGCGAUGGGGGUGGAAUUAGAUGGCAGAGAUUUGUGACAAGCAUAGAAGACCACCCAGCACGCUCAGGGGGCAGCAUCAAUCAUAAGUCACAUCACAGCAGAGCCAUGGUGUUCGAGUCCCAACAGGCAGAGGGAGAGAGGGUGAGGGGGAGAGAGAGAGAGAGAGAGAAAGAAGGAGAGAGAGGGAGAGAGGGAGAGAGAGAGACAGAUGCAGGGACCUCCGACCCAUGCAGGUGGGCUUGGGAUCAUGAGAGCAUAUGAGGAUAGACCCCAGGCUGGCUUCACUGAGACGCCACCCAGAGAAAGGCAGCUGGAGGACAUGAGGUGAGAAUGGAGCCCUUGCCACCUUCCUGGAGCUCCAAGCCAGUCACUCUCACCAGGGGCCCAGAGGCCAUUGGGGCAAACAGCAUUGACACUCUUUCAAACCCUGCUGGCCACUUCCCUCCCUAGGGGAGCAGCAGAGAAGCCCACAGGUGGCCGGUGCUCAGUCAGCACAGCUGAGGUGAGCUGGCAAAACUCCUGGCACUCUCUGUCUCCGAGAAUUGGCUGGGGCAUCUGAUGGUGGUUGCAGAGCCUCAUCUCCCCUCUGUUGAGCUUAGCGGAGAUCAGGCUCAGCAGAUGUGCUCAGGUCCCCAGGAGGCUGGGCUGGUUACAGUCACUGGGGACCAGGUGCUCCCCUUUUGAACCAAGGUCAUUUCUCCCAACGAGGGAGCUUCCAUAAUCACAGGGAUGUCCCCUGACCCCAUCCCUACAAACAUGUAGAGUGCAAAGGAGCACGGGGCAGGGGUGGGCUCUUAAUUCCUGGCAGGGAGCUGCUGCCGUCUGAUCCGAGUUGUGGGACAGCACUGGGUGUGUGCUCCUACUUCCUGGCUUAUAGGUUUCCUUCUCUGUGUGGCACUAGCAUGUGUGUCCUUGACCCCUUAGCAGAGAGGAGCCAAUUCACUCUGUCUGUGAAGCCAAAACACAAGGGACCUGCAAGUUUUGAACCCUUCUCUCCACCAAGAUGUGAGAUGUAUACUGGCAGAUCCCUGAGAUCCCACUAGGCUCAGGCCCUCCACUCACCUGCCUCUGCUGGGCUCAAGCCUCCCUCUGGCACCUGCAGCACAGAACAGCCUCCUCCAGCCUGGCUCCACGCCCGCCCCGCCCCCAUCUUCCUCCUCCCUACCCACUGGAAUGAGCUUCCCAAAAGGCAGAUCUUACCAGGUGUCACUCCUCCUCAGAACCCUUAUCAAUCUCUGCUUGCCUUUUCCAUUCUCUUCUCUCCAUCCCUUUCUACAUACGGGUUUCCUCCCCAGUUUCACUGCGACAGGGCCAUUGCCCUUGCAGGUCUCCCUGCUGUUUCUGAAUACACGGCUUCUUCCUGGAUUUGUUCUCUUACUCUCUUCCCUGCUAGAAGCCGUGGCUAACCUGUUCUUAUCUUUCCUGACUGAGGUGGGCCCAUUCCUCCACUCUGUGCUCAUAGCAGCCUCCUCUAACCUCCAUUUGAGCCUUUGUUUUAUUGCAGGGGUCCCCAACCCCUGGGCCAUGGGCUGGUACCAGUCUGUGGCCUGUUAGGAACGAGGCCACACAGCAGGAGGUGAAUGGCAGGCAGGUGAGUGAAGCUUCACCUGUAUCUGCAGCUGCUCCCCAUGGCUCACAUCACCGCCUGAGUUCCGCCUCCUGUCAGAUCAGCUGGGCAUUGGAUUCUUAUAGGAGCACGAACCCUAUUGCAAACUGCACAUACGAGGGACCUGGGUUCCCUGCUCCUUAUCAGAAUCGAAUGCCUGAUGAUCUGUCACUCUUGAUGAUCUGUCACUGUCUCCCAUCACCCCCAGAUGGGACCGUCUAGUUUCAGGAAAACAAGCUCAGGGCUCCCACUGAUUCUACAUUAUGGUGAGUUGUAUAAUUAUUUCAUUAUAUAUUACAAUGUAAUCAUAAUACAAAUAACCUGCACAAUAAAUAUAAUGCAUUUGAAUCA